UACGUAGGGUGCAAGCGUUGUCCGGAAUUAUUGGGCGUAAAGAGCUCGUAGGCGGUCUGUCGCGUCUGCUGUGAAAAACUCGGGGCUUAACCCCCGGGCCUGCAGUGGGUACGGGCAGACUAGAGUGCGGUAGGGGAGACUGGAAUUCCUGGUGUAGCGGUGAAAUGCGCAGAUAUCAGGAGGAACACCGGUGGCGAAGGCGGGUCUCUGGCCGUAACUGACGCUGAGGAGCGAAGCAUGGGGAGCGAACAGG
rnacentral:rRNA from 1 species